rnacentral:piRNA from 1 species
CACAUACCGCCAUGUUAAAAUGUCAGUGU